rnacentral:rRNA from 1 species
CCACAAAUAUUUCUACAAAGGGAAGCAAAGAUGAAAGUCUGAGCUAAUCCUCAAAAGAAAUAAAAGUACGGAUAAGAAUCUGGAACUCGAUUCUUUGAAGAAGGAAUUGCUAGUAAUCGUUCAUCAUCAAGGAACGGUGAAACGAACAUCUGUGAUGUACUAACUACUCGUCAAGCGCGAAAAUCAUUAAGAAGUAUCAAGUUGAUUGAAUUUAAUUUCUAAAGAGUUAAAGAAUUUAACAUCUGUAGAAUCAAAGGAUUUCAGCGUCUAUUUCCUAGAAAUUUGUGCUAAG